rnacentral:rRNA from 1 species
CCUACGGGAGGCAGCAGGGGGGAAUCUUGCACAAUGGGCGAAAGCCUGACGCAGCGAUGCCGCGUGGGGGAUGAAGGCUCUCGGGUCGUAAACCCCUUUCAGCAGGGACGAAAAUGACGGUACCUGCAGAAGAAGCCCCGGCCAACUACGUGCCAGCAGCCGCGGUAACACGUAGGGGGCGAGCGUUGUCCGGAUUUAUUGGGCGUAAAGAGCUCGUAGGCUGUUCAGUAAGUCAGGUGUGAAAACCCAAGGCUCAACCCUGRGACGCCACUUGAUACUGCUGUGACUAGAGUCCGGUAGAGGAGAUUGGAAUUCCUGGUGUAGCGGUGAAAUGCGCAGAUAUCAGGAGGAACACCAAUGGCGAAGGCAGAUCUCUGGGCCGGUACUGACGCUGAGGAGCGAAAGCGUGGGG